AGAGUUUGAUCAUGGCUCAGNANNNNCGCUGGCGGCGUGCCUAAUACAUGCAAGUCGAGCGAAUCUUUGGGAGCUUGCUCCCAAAAGUUAGCGGCGGACGGGUGAGUAACACGUGGGCAACCUGCCUAUAAGACUGGGAUAACUUCGGGAAACCGGAGCUAAUACCGGAUAAUUCUUUUCUACACAUGUAGAAAAGCUAAAAGACGGUUUACGCUGUCACUUAUAGAUGGGCCCGCGGCGCAUUAGCUAGUUGGUGAGGUAACGGCUCACCAAGGCCACGAUGCGUAGCCGACCUGAGAGGGUGAUCGGCCACACUGGGACUGAGACACGGCCCAGACUCCUACGGGAGGCAGCAGUAGGGAAUCUUCCGCAAUGGACGAAAGUCUGACGGAGCAACGCCGCGUGAGUGAUGAAGGUUUUCGGAUCGUAAAACUCUGUUGUUAGGGAAGAACAAGUACGAGAGUAGCUGCUCGUACCUUGACGGUACCUAACCAGAAAGCCACGGCUAACUACGUGCCAGCAGCCGCGGUAAUACGUAGGUGGCAAGCGUUGUCCGGAAUUAUUGGGCGUAAAGCGCGCGCAGGCGGUCCUUUAAGUCUGAUGUGAAAGCCCACGGCUCAACCGUGGAGGGUCAUUGGAAACUGGGGGACUUGAGUGCAGGAGAGAAGAGUGGAAUUCCACGUGUAGCGGUGAAAUGCGUAGAGAUGUGGAGGAACACCAGUGGCGNNNNCGACUCUUUGGCCUGUAACUGACGCUGNNNCGCGAAAGCGUGGGGAGCAAACA
rnacentral:rRNA from 1 species